AGAACGAACGCUGGCGGCAUGCCUAACACAUGCAAGUCGAACGCCCCGCAAGGGGAGUGGCAGACGGGUGAGUAACGCGUGGGAACGUGCCCUUCGCUUCGGAAUAGCCCCGGGAAACUGGGAGUAAUACCGGAUACGCCGUAUUGGGAAAGAUUUAUCGGCGAAGGAUCGGCCCGCGUUAGAUUAGCUAGUUGGCGGUGUAAUGGACCACCAAGGCUACGAUCUAUAGCUGGUCUGAGAGGAUGAUCAGCCACACUGGGACUGAGACACGGCCCAGACUCCUACGGGAGGCAGCAGUGGGGAAUCUUGGACAAUGGGCGCAAGCCUGAUCCAGCCAUGCCGCGUGAGUGAAGAAGGCCUUAGGGUUGUAAAACUCUUUCGCCGGUGAAGAUAAUGACGGUAACCGGAGAAGAAGCCCCGGCUAACUUCGUGCCAGCAGCCGC
rnacentral:rRNA from 1 species